AGAGUUUGAUCCUGGCUCAGGACGAACGCUGGCGGCGUGCCUAACACAUGCAAGUCGAGCGAAGUGCUUUAAGUGGAAUCCUUCGGGAUAAAACUUGAAGCACUUAGCGGCGGACGGGUGAGUAAUACGUGAGGAACCUACCUCCCACAAGGGGAUAGCCUCGGGAAACCGGGAUUAAUACCCUAUGACACUUAAGAGUCGCAUGACUCUUAGGUUAAAGCGCUUUAGCGGUGGGAGAUGGCCUCGCGUCCCAUUAGCUAGUUGGUGAGGUAACGGCUCACCAAGGCGACGAUGGGUAGCCGGCCUGAGAGGGUGACCGGCCACACUGGGACUGAGACACGGCCCAGACUCCUACGGGAGGCAGCAGUGGGGAAUAUUGCACAAUGGGCGAAAGCCUGAUGCAGCGACGCCGCGUGAGCGAAGAAGGCCUUCGGGUCGUAAAGCUCUGUCCUAUGGGAAGAUAAUGACGGUACCAUAGGAGGAAGCCCCGGCUAACUACGUG
rnacentral:rRNA from 1 species